UGAUGACGAGACGCUAAGGCGUUGAAGCGGUGUAUGUCAGACUUCCAAGAAAAGCUCGCAAUGUCACAAAUAAAAAUGCCUGUACCAUAACCGACACAGGUGGGUAGGUAGAGUAUACUAAGGGGCGCGAGAUAACUCUCUCUAAGGAACUCGGCAAAAUGACUCCGUAACUUCGGGAGAAGGAGUGCCUUAUUUAUAAGGUUGCAAUAACAAGAUCCAAGCAACUGUUUAUCAAAAACACAGGUCUCCGCUAAGUCGUAAGACGAUGUAUGGGGGCUGACGCCUGCCCAGUGCCAGAAGGUUAAAGAAGUUGGUUAGUGUAUGCGAAGCUGAUGACUGAAGCCCUGGUGAACGGCGGCCGUAACGAUAACGGUCCUAAGGUAGCGAAAUUCCUUGUCGGGUAAGUUCCGACCCGCACGAAAGGCGUAAUGAUUUGGAUACUGUCUCGGAGAGAGGCUCGGUGAAAUAGACUUGUCUGUGAAGAUGCGGACUACCUGCACCAGGACAGAAAGACCCUAUGAAGCUUUACUGUAACUUGAAAUUGGAAUUGGACUUUGCUUGCGCAGUAUAGGUGGGAAGCGUUGAAAAUAUUCUUGCGGGAGUAUUGGAGCUAUCAGUGAGAUACCACUCUUGUAAUGUUAGAUUUCUAACUUUGAGCCAUAAUCUGGUCAAAGAACAGUUUCAGGUGGGCAGUUUGACUGGGGCGGUCGCCUCCCAAAUGGUAACGGAGGCGUACAAAGGUUUCCUCUGAACGGAUAGAAAUCGUAUCUAGAGUGUAAAGGCAUAAGGAAGCUUGACUGUGAGACCUACAAGUCGAGCAGGGACGAAAGUCGGUCUUAGUGAUCUGACGGUACUGAGUGGAAAGGCCGUCACUCAACGGAUAAAAGUUACUCUAGGAUAACAGGCUGUUCUCCCCCAAGAGUUCACAUCGACGGGGAGGUUUGGCACCUCGAUGUCGGCUCAUCGCAUCCUGGGGCGGUAGUACGUCCCAAGGGUUGGGCUGUUCGCCCAUGAAAGCGGUACGCGAGCUGGGUUCAGAACGUCGUGAGACAGUUCGGUCCAUAUCCGGUGUAGGCGCUAGAAUAUUGAGAGGAGCCUUCUUUAGUACGAGAGGACCGAGAAGGACACACCGCUGGUGUACCAGUUAUCGUGCCAACGGUAAACGCUGGGUAGCUAUGUGUGGAGUGGAUAACCGCUGAAAGCAUCUAAGUGGGAAGCCCACCUCGAGAUGAGUAUUCUC
rnacentral:rRNA from 1 species